UACAGAGACUGCAAGCGUUGUUCGGAUUCAUUGGGCGUAAAGGGUGCGUAGGCGGUCGCGCAAGUCGGAUGUGAAAUCUCAGGGCUCAACCCUGAAACUGCAUUCGAUACUGCGUGGCUAGAGUGCUGGAGAGGAGACUGGAAUUUACGGUGUAGCAGUGAAAUGCGUAGAUAUCGUAAGGAAGACCAGUGGCGAAGGCGAGUCUCUGGACAGCAACUGACGCUGAGGCACGAAGGCCAGGGGAGCAAACGGG
rnacentral:rRNA from 1 species